CUAGUUGGACGCGGCUCGGAUGAGGGACCAAUGAGCCCCAUGCUUGUCCGAGCCGGUGCCUGCUCUCGCUAAAUCAAUCUGGGACUUAGGAGACUUACUCAACCAAGGAGGAGUGCCUCCUUGGGCCGAGCUAGUUGGACGCGGCUCGGAUGAGGGACCAAUGAGCCCCAUGCUUGUCCGAGCCGGUGCCUGCUCUCGCUAAGUCAAUCUGGGACUUAGGAGACUUACUCAACCAAGGAGGAGUGCCUCCUUGGGCCGAGCUAGUUGGACGCGGCUCGGAUGAGGGACCAAUGAGCCUCAUGCUUGUCCGUGCCGGUGCCUGCUCUCGCUAAGUCAAUCUGGGACUUAGGAGACUUACUCAACCAAGGAGGAGUGCCUCCUUGGGCCGAGCUAGUUGGACGCGGCUCGGAUGAGGGACCAAUAAGCCCCAUGCUUGUCCGAGCCGGUGCCUAAGGUUUUGGACCACUGGCUGAGGUGACCGAGUGGGUAACCUUGAGCUAAUGAACUGGCAAUCUUGAGCUGGUGAACUUAAUAGCUUCUUGGGAACCCAAAUGCCACGUGGCAACGGUGGAUUAUUGGGGUGCUUGAAAACAUGGUGGCGAUUCAACUUCUGGUUAUUUAUGACUUUUGUGACGAUUUGUAUUCCGAGGGGUUGUACGUUUUGAAUAGUUUUGGACAGUUGGGAGGCCCAUUAAGGUGUUGAAGACACAAGGCCCGGUCCAAGAGAUGACGUGGAAUACGGGGACCGAGGAUUUUGCCUAUAAGUAGGGAGAGAGGAGAGAGAUUUUGUCACUUUUACAAUUCUCUCUCUCUCUCUAACUUCGAGUUUUCUGCUCUCUCUCUCUACUUCAGAGCAUUUUCUCUCUCUAAGUCCGGGCUUCAUCCUUCUCGUCCGACCAGGUACGCACUCGUUUUGUUUUUUUCACUAAGUUUUCUUCUCUUUCCUUUAAUAAAAUCGGCCGACCCCCUUCUGUUGAUAAAUAAUGGGGAGCUCGUCCGAGUCAGUGACACCCCCUCCCUCACCUCCUUAUAAUUUAGCCGAGGAAGUGAGGGGUAUGGGAAUGGUUUUGGUGUCAACUUUAAUUAGUUGCCCGGAUCCCUCGGCUGUGCCUGAGGCGCUUUCCCUCCCCAGUACUCCUUCGCAAGCCGAGGAGGAGGAGGCCGAGGGUGCCAUCCCCCUACCCUGGGAGGUGUCCCUGGCCUAUCCUUCUUCGAGGAGUUACUUAGACAAAUAUUUGUCUGAUGGUGUAGUUAGGGUAGCUAUGCCGGGAGAAGAAGGCGAAGCUUCUACAUCAGGUCGGCUCGCGUAUCCUGAGAUCGACCCCCGAGGCGGUCCGGGAGCGAAAUUUCCACUGCCUUCUCUAAUAAAGACCUUGCUGGAGGAUGCCCGAGGCCAAGCAGCAAAAUUUCAAAUAAAGGACCCCUAUCUGCUGGUCCGACCCGAUGCUAGCAACACCAUUUUGAGCCCACCCCCUGGAUGCACCGCCUUUUAUUACAAGGCCAUGGAGAUGGGCUUGAGAUUUCCGCUGACCCAGUUUGAGAAGGAUAUACUGAAUGCCUACAACUUGUGUCUGGGUCAGCUAUCUCCGAAUUCUUGGGGCGGCAUAUUGGCGGUUCAGGUGAUAUGCGAAAUCAUCGGUGUCAAACCGACCCUCACCCUAUGGCGUCAUUUGUACAAACUGUUCGAGAUGCCCGCCGGGGAUCAUGGACCUGGUUGGUGGUGCUUCCAGGCUCGGCGGGGCUACCGAACCGUCCUCGACUUGCCCACCUCGCAGAAGGGUUUUCGUCGAGGAUUUGCCUUCGUCUACUAUGGGGGAGAUUGGGGCAUCCCCAUCGUACCUCCACCUGCCGACCCCAACCACUGCCUUAACUUUAAAGUACCCGAGCUAUCGGAAGACGAAGCAGUGGCCGCCAUCUACAUGCAAUUAGAGGCGAAGAUAGUGGACGGCGGCGAGGGUUUUGUAGCGGGGAAUUGGCUCCCAAGCUGUAAAUUGUUCAAGAAUGAGCACUUCCUCGCCGCAUUCGGCCUGAGUCCGGCCUUCCCCAAGGGUAAUUCGGCACGAGGGGGUCCGGUUGACUUGUUUGUGCUUUACUUGUUAUGUUUUUUGCUAACUGUGCUCUUCUUUUUGCAGAAGCUUCUUUGUCCUUUUUGAAGGAAACCGACCAAGAAAUGGCCGAGCGACUGACUUCUGCUGCUCUCAAGGCCGCUCGGAUCAGGGCCGAGAUGAAGGCGAACAAAAUCAACAAGCCUUCCAAGCCGAAGGAUCCUUCCAACCCCAAGCCGAGGAAGCGAAAGGAGAGGGCCGAGGAAAGGGUCGAGCUAACAGAAAAGGCUCUGGCCAAGGCCCGAGCUGAGAAGGAGGCCUCAGCAAAAAAGGCUCGGAAGGAGCAGUCGGUUGAGGUGAACAGCCCCCGGCCCGACUCUGGAGGGGGGGACACCCAUAUCUCACUUCGUCCCUCGGACUUUGAACCUGUCCGGAGUCUGGGACAUGUUCAAGGGGCCUCCGACCCAUCUUUGGCCGAGCGCUCUUUGUCCGAGGCGCCGGUCCCCUUUACCCAAAUGUCCAAAACGGACAAGAAGAAGAGGAUCUCCGACGCACUGGAGAUCCUAUGCACUCAGCCGACCGAGAUCACAUUAAUGAGGUCAACGGGAGGAAUGAGUCGAGCGAGCUCUUCCGCUCUUGGAUGGACUUUUCCAUCCGUAUGACUAAAGUGGCCGAGGACCGGCUCGCUUUGGUCCAAGAAAUCCAGGAGCUGAGGGACGCGGCUCGGUCCCACUUUGACGAGCUGUACCGAGCCAAAGAGGACAAAAGACUGGCCGAGCUCCGCAAGGAAGAGGCGGAGGAGAAGAUUCGGAAGGGCGAGGAGGCCUGGCAAAAAGAGCAGCUGGAGUGGAAGGAAGAGAGAGCCAACCUCUCCUUGGCUAAGGAGAAUGCUGAGUCGGCCAAGGUCACGGCCGAAACUAAGCAGGCUCAGGCCGAGAAGGAGUUGGAAGAAGUCAAGCUCCAGCUCUCUGCGGCUGAAGCUCAAUUGAAGGAAGCCGAAGCGGCCGUUUCUCGCUCUCAGGAGGAGUGGUUCAAAGUCUGGCAGGGGUCGGACGACUGUACCGAUUUCUGUGCCGACGUGGGCCAGUCUUCCCAUAAGAUGGGCGAGGACGAGGCGCUUGCUAGGCUUAAGGUAGCCUUGGUUGAUUCCUGUCCCGAGGCCGACUGGAAUUCAGUCUGGUCUCGCUACCAGGAGUUGGCCGAUGCCGAGGCAGCCGAGAUUAAGGCCAAGAUGGCUGAAGAGAUGAGCUCGGACAGCGACUCUGAUGAUGAAGAAGAGGAUGCUGGUAGCACCGAGCCACCUCCACCAGAGCAACCUGCCGCCGGUCCUUCUACUUAGCUUUCUCAGGAUUUUCAUUUUCUUAGCCUUGGCCUUGUCGGCCUUCUAGCUUUUCUAUUCUUGCCUCGCUUUUUGUAUUUUUGUAAACUCUUGGUUGUAUUUUUCAACUUUUCAUCAAUUGGAAUACAACUACUAUUUUGCAA